ensembl:lncRNA
CCGCAGCCCAGAGUUGGGGACCCCUGCCUUAACUAAUGGAUCCCUUUUCCCCAACUCUUCUCUGCCUCUUGCUGGAUGAGGAGGUUUCCCAUUUACUCCAUUACUCUUUGGAGAAAGUCUCCAAUUCUGUCUUAUCUGGAAAUACUUCUUAUUUUCUAAUGAUAGGUUAAUUUAUAACAACAUGAUCAUUAACUUAUGUCACAGUCACAAAUGGCAGUGGCCCGGCCGUAUCCCGCAGUCUCGCGUAACGAAGGCAUGGGAGAGCCGGUGCAAUUUACUGCGCUGAUAGGUCCCUAAAGGCAUUUCAAGCUUUGCUCCACAAAGCACUCUCUUUUAGCACAAAUUAAUGUUCUUUAUUUUGUUCAGUGACUUUUGUCAAUAUAUAAAUGCUUAGAAUUUAUUAUAAUCACAGUUUGCUUGCUUACUUUUCAGGCAUGCUUCUUAAUCCAGGGUGAUUUAUGUGUUUACCAUCUGUAGCAUGAAUUUUUCUGUCAGAAUGUGAACUGAGAUAUUUGCACUUACAGUACACAUGUUUGUUUUACAUUUUCUCAGAGAGCUAAUACUUUGUUUUCCCAAAAUAGAUUUACUUAAUGAAAUUAGGAUCUUCAUGUUGAGAUGUUUAUUUUUAAAAUUUGACUUUAGUUAACUAACUCUGUGUUACUUAAUUUAAUUUAGAGUUGACUUAUUGAAGUUGGUAAUUUACUUAAAUGUAAUAGCUGAACUGCAUAAAUUUUAAAAACUUAUCCUAGCUAUUUGAUAUUACCAAUCUAUAAAAUCUUGAUUUUGAUGUUGUUGUUCUUAUUGUAGAUCAUCUUUGUUAUUAAGAGAGCAGCUUUUUAAUUUUUAGUUUUUUUUUGAGAUGGAGAUCUUACUUUGUCGUGCACGUGGGAGUGCAGUGGCACAAUCAUAGUUCACUGUAACCUCAAACUCCUGGAUUCAAGUGAUCCUCCCGCCUCAGCCUCCUAAGUAGCUGGAACUACAGGCCCAUACUACCAUGCCCAGCUAAUUAAAUUUUUUUUUUUUGUACAGACAGGGUCUCGCUAUGUUGCCCAAGCUGGUCUUGAACUCCUGAGCUCAAGUGAUUUUCCUGCCUUAGCCUCCCAAAGUGUGAGAGUACAGGUGUGAGCCACGACACCUGGCCUGAAAGCAGCUUUUUGUUUUACAGUUUGUUCUAAGGGAAUUCAAAGCUCCACAUCUUUUAAAAAUUAUUACUAUUUGAUCUAAAACCUUUUUAAAGCAAUCUGCUUUGAAUCAUGUGAGGAGCUCACUGAAUACAACAUUCUUGGUAAUCAGAGAAUGGGGUUAAUUUUUUUAACUUGGAUGAGCAGUUCUAGCAUGAGUUAUGAGGAAGUGUCAAGUGACCUGUUUUCUAAAUGUUGAAUUAACUCUGCUAUCUGUAUUUUAAAAGCUAAUUGGUAUAUUUCUACCUAGGCCUUGAAAAGCCAUCACUCAUACUCUCUUUCCAUCCCAUCCCAUUCCCUUCUCUUACCUAAGUUACUUACUUGCUAUCCUAUUAGGAAAAAUUUUAAAAUCCACUUACUGAACAGGUAUGUACACAGGAUUACUUGGCUGACUACCAAUGCCUAACCAUCAGUGAAAGGACACCCUUUAAAAUAAGACUUUUAGAUCAGCAAGAAAUGACUAGUAUAUUUUAUUCAAUUCAACAAACAUCCACUGGACGCUUAUGUUCAAAGUACGGUGGGUGAUAGAACUAGUAAGUCAGUAGUUUCUAUCUGGAAGUAACUCUCAUUCUUUUUUAAUUUUUUUUUUUGGGGGGGGUCUGUUUCUUUGUCAGACCUUUAGUUUGUUUAAUGUCAUGAAUUUUGGUCAAGUAAGAUAUUUUUAAUUGAUGACAAUUCUAGACAAAAAUGCCUCAGUGAAGAUGGAGAGCCUAUUUGGGAUCAGGAUCAUCCAGCCCCUCAGAGCAAGAGUAUGGAGAUCAUAUUCACAGUGGGUACCAAGACCUGGGCUUGGCGUAGGCAUCUUGUCUGACUAGGGGAAUUUCCUAUACACUGCACAGACUGAUGAAUGACUACAGAGGAGGUAGCUGGCAUGCGCAAGAAAGAGCAAAGAUUAAGUAAGCCAAGCAUAAUAGUGCCUGGCAAAUCGUCUCACCGUGUGUGAGUCUGAUGCAUGGUGGCUUCUCUUAUUAUGAUUUUAUUCUGAUGAACUUUCCUCAGUGAAGAUAGGCAACUGUUCAAUCAUCUAUUCAUCAAGUCCCUGUAAUGUGACAGCCGUGAUACUAGGUACAGAGGAUUGAACUGUGAGCUCAGCAAAUCCAGUCAUUGCCUUCAUAGGACUUUCACUUAGCGGGGGCUUCAGACAAGUGCGUGGGCUAAACAGUUGAGUAAAUGUAACCAUGGUGAAAAAUAGAGGGUGCUGUUGAAAUGUGUUCCCCUGAAGAAGGGAAGAGGAGAUUCCUGGAAGAAUUUCCAUUGGAGGUGGUAUUUCAGUUGAAAAGUAAGUAGGAAUUGAUUAGAAUAGGAGAUGGAGAGAGAGGUGGACAGUGUUCCAGGCAGACGGAGCAUCUGGGGUGACCACCCAAAAGUGAGAGACAGUGCAAAGCCCCAGGAACUCCUUUAUGCAGCCCAGGCAGAGCCAAGUGGGGCCUGGUGUGGGCGGUGCCUCUCAGCUUGCUAUGAAAAAGUCUGGGCUUUGUCCCAGAGCAGUGGAGUGCUAUAGUUGAGUUUUAAAUGGGGCGCUGAUCUGAUGAAAUACUUAGGAAGAUCACCCUGGUCUCAGAGUGGAGACUGUGCUGGGAGGGUGGAGGAAGAGUGGCAGAAUCAAGGCAUUGGUGGGACCAUGGCUGGAGCUGAGCAAGGGACUGACACUGUGGCCUGCAUGGGCAGAAGAACACAUGCGAUUCCAGAGAGGCGGGUCCACUGGGUCCAGAAAGAGUCUCGGGAGGUCGAACAGAGCACCCUUCUCUGCUGGGCCAGCCUUGGGCUGAUUUAUCAGCAGAAAACUGGGUGGAUCUGUUUGUUCAAGGGCCCAGGGAAGACAAGCUUUGGGGAGUCACCAUUGCAGGCUGAGGACAACAGAUGUAGCUGCCCACUGAGAAACAACAGCCUCCACGUGCGCAGCUGGGGAAGAAGUGAGUCACUGUCUUCUCAGUCACACCCAGCACCUGCUUAAUGACCACUUUUUCCAGAGCCAGCCUUUGAAUAUGAAAAACAAUAAUCAAAUGAUCUUCUUCCCAGGAGUUGAGUCGGUGCUCCUGAUUAGCUCAGGGCCAACACUAAAACUAGAAAACUGGAGGCUUUCUGGGAGCCAGGCUGCCUGGCAGCUGAUGUGGCCACAUAACAUUGUAGUUUUGACUCGUCCUUUUCUAAGGCAUGCUGAGAACCCUUGAAGCCCCCUGCCAUUCUUCUGUUUUCCAUUCUCUCCUUCCAGUGCUCAUUAAAAAAAAAAAAAAAAAAAAAAAAAAAAAAA